GAUGAACGCUGACAGAAUGCUUAACACAUGCAAGUCAACUGUGGCGGACGGGUGAGUAACGCGUAAAGAACUUGCCUCACAGCUAGGGACAACAUUUGGAAACGAAUGCUAAUAACAGAUACUGUGAGAGAGCUUUGCGUCCCAUUAGCUAGUUGGAGAGGUAACGGCGCACCAAGGCGAGGAUGGGUAGCCGGCCUGAGAGGGUGAUCGGCCACAAGGGGACUGAGACACGGCCCUUACUCCUCCGGGAGGAAGCAGUGGGGACUAUUGGACAAUGGACCAAAGGUUGAUCCAGCAAUUCUGUGUGCACGAUGAAGUUUUCGGAAUGUAAAGUGCUUUCAGAUGGGAAGCGGUACCAACAGAAGAAGUGACGGCUAAAUACGUGCCAGCAGCCGCGGUAAUAC
rnacentral:rRNA from 1 species